CCUACGGGUGGCAGCAGUGGGGAAUAUUGGGCAAUGGGCGCAAGCCUGACCCAGCAACGCCGCGUGAAGGAAGAAGGCUUUCGGGUUGUAAACUUCUUUUCUCAGGGACGAAGAAAGUGACGGUACCUGAGGAAUAAGCCACGGCUAACUACGUGCCAGCAGCCGCGGUAAUACGUAGGUGGCAAGCGUUAUCCGGAUUUAUUGGGUGUAAAGGGCGUGUAGGCGGGAGCGCAAGUCAGAUGUGAAAACUCAGGGCUCAACCCUGAGCCUGCAUUUGAAACUGUGUUUCUUGAGUGCUGGAGAGGCAAUCGGAAUUCGUAGUGUAGCGGUGAAAUGCGUAGAUAUUAGGAGGAACACCAGUGGCGAAGGCGGCCUGCUGGGCUUUUACUGACGCUGAGGCUCGAAAGUGUGGGGAGCAAACAGGAUUAGAUACCCUUGUAGUC
rnacentral:rRNA from 1 species